rnacentral:rRNA from 1 species
GUGGGGAAUAUUGGACAAUGGGCGAAAGCCUGAUCCAGCCAUGUCGCGUGUGUGAAGAAGGUCUUCGGAUUGUAAAGCACUUUAAGUUGGGAGGAAGGGCAGUAAGUUAAUACCUUGCUGUUUUGACGUUACCGACAGAAUAAGCACCGGCUAACUUCGUGCCAGCAGCCGCGGUAAUACGAAGGGUGCAAGCGUUAAUCGGAAUUACUGGGCGUAAAGCGCGCGUAGGUGGUUUUGUAAGUUGGAGGUGAAAUCCCCGGGCUCAACCUGGGAACUGCCUCCAAAACUGCAUGACUAGAGUACGGUAGAGGGUAGUGGAAUUUCCUGUGUAGCGGUGAAAUGCGUAGAUAUAGGAAGGAACACCAGUGGCGAAGGCGACUACCUGGACUGAUACUGACACUGAGGUGCGAAAGCGUGGAGAGCAAACAGGAUUAGAUACCCCUGUAGUCC